rnacentral:rRNA from 1 species
AGAGUUUGAUCCUGGCUCAGGACGAACGCUGGCGGCGCGCCUAACACAUGCAAGUCGAACGAGAGAGAAGGAGCUUGCUUCUUCGAUCGAGUGGCGAACGGGUGAGUAACGCGUGAGGAACCUGCCUCAAAGAGGGGGACAACAGUUGGAAACGACUGCUAAUACCGCAUAAGCCCACGGGUCGGCAUCGACCUGAGGGAAAAGGAGCAAUCCGCUUUGAGAUGGCCUCGCGUCCGAUUAGCUAGUUGGUGAGGUAACGGCCCACCAAGGCGACGAUCGGUAGCCGGACUGAGAGGUUGAACGGCCACAUUGGGACUGAGACACGGCCCAGACUCCUACGGGAGGCAGCAGUGGGGAAUAUUGCACAAUGGGGGAAACCCUGAUGCAGCGACGCCGCGUGGAGGAAGAAGGUCUUCGGAUUGUAAACUCCUGUUGUUGAGGAAGAUAAUGACGGUACUCAACAAGGAAGUGACGGCUAACUACGUGCCAGCAGCCGCGGUAAAACGUAGGUCACAAGCGUUGUCCGGAAUUACUGGGUGUAAAGGGAGCGCAGGCGGGAAGACAAGUUGGAAGUGAAAUCUAUGGGCUCAACCCAUAAACUGCUUUCAAAACUGUUUUUCUUGAGUAGUGCAGAGGUAGGCGGAAUUCCCGGUGUAGCGGUGGAAUGCGUAGAUAUCGGGAGGAACACCAGUGGCGAAGGCGGCCUACUGGGCACCAACUGACGCUGAGGCUCGAAAGUGUGGGUAGCAAACAGGAUUAGAUACCCUGGUAGUCCACACCGUAAACGAUGAUUACUAGGUGUUGGAGGAUUGACCCCUUCAGUGCCGCAGUUAACACAAUAAGUAAUCCACCUGGGGAGUACGACCGCAAGGUUGAAACUCAAAGGAAUUGACGGGGGCCCGCACAAGCGGUGGAGCAUGUGGUUUAA